rnacentral:rRNA from 1 species
GCCAGACUCCUACGGGAGGCAGCAGUGGGGGAUAUUGCACAAUGGGGGGAACCCUGAUGCAGCGACGCCGCGUGGGUGAAGAAGCGCCUCGGCGCGUAAAGCCCUGUCAGCAGGGAAGAAAAUGACGGUACCUGAAGAAGAAGCCCCGGCUAACUACGUGCCAGCAGCCGCGGUAAUACGUAGGGGGCAAGCGUUAUCCGGAUUUACUGGGUGUAAAGGGGGCGCAGACGGCGAUGCAAGCCAGGAGUGAAAGCCCGGGGCCCAACCCCGGGACUGCUCUGGAAACUGCGUCGCUGGAGUACGGGAGGGGCAGGCGGAAUUCCUGGUGUAGCGGUGAAAUGCGUAGAUAUCAGGAGGAACACCGGCGGCGAAGGCGGCCUGCUGGACCGUGACUGACGUUGAGGCUCGAGAGCGUGGGGAGCAAACAGGAUUAGAUACCCCAGUAGGU